AUCCAACUGAUGAGUCCCAAAUAGGACAAGACGCGCGUCGUGGAU
rnacentral:hammerhead_ribozyme from 1 species